GGCGCCCGGAGAAAGCUAGGAGGCUCCAGCGGUGGGCUUGGCCGGUGCGUGCGUCCUACCGCUACCGGGCUGCUUAUUGAUUUUAGUUUGAAGACAGUGACAAUAUCCUGAUUUUCCUACCCUACACUUUGGGUUCCGAAGUGAGUUUUAUCUAAAAAUUACUGCAUAAUGCCAGAUACAAGCAGCAUCUGAAGAAAAUUUACAGCAUUUCCAAGAGGAGCAUAUUGCUUCCAUAAGAAGUCAGAUGGAACUCAGAAUUAAAGACUUGGGAUCUGAACUCUCCAAGAUGAAAACUUUUGAAGAUUCUAAUAAAGCAGAGUUGGAAAAGUAUAAGCAACACUACCUAGAGGAACUAAAAGUUAGAAAGUCCUUGGAAAAGAAACUAGACAAGGCUAAUGAAAGGCUGGCAGAGAUCAGCACCAAACUUGAGGUGGAGAAACAGCAGAACAGAUCUUUACUCAGCACUCCUAGCAGCACGCCAGUCCCAGAGCCCUCCUCUGUUGGAAAUUUCAAUCCUACUUCAGGACUCAAUGCAAAUCUUAUUUCAAGAGCAAACGUAGGGUUUUCUGCUUCAGUUCCACACCAUUCAAAUGACAGCGUGGAGACUUACUUGACCAACGUUAGUUCUUUUCUUUUUUCUCCACUGGGUUUCAGAUUUCUGAUAUAAAUGAUCCUUAUUUUUAAUUUGGUGAACUUCUGAGUUGUUUUUUUGAGUUAUGCAUACUAAGUAAAACUAUAUUCAACUGUGAUAAUCAAG